rnacentral:rRNA from 1 species
CGCGUAGGCGGUUUGUUAAGUCAGAUGUGAAAGCCCUGGGCUCAACCUGGGAAUUGCAUUUGAUACUGGCAGGCUAGAGUAUGGUAGAGGGUGGUGGAAUUCCAGGUGUAGCGGUGAAAUGCGUAGAGAUCUGGAGGAACAUCAGUGGCGAAGGCGGCCACCUGGACCAAUACUGACGCUGAGGUGCGAAAGCGUGGGUAGCAAACA